UCGGGAAUUUUGGGCAAUGGGCGAAAGCCUGACCCAGCAACGCCGCGUGAAGGAUGAAGUAUUUCGGUAUGUAAACUUCGAAAGAAUAGGAAGAAUAAAUGACGGUACUAUUUAUAAGGUCCGGCUAACUACGUGCCAGCAGCCGCGGUAAUACGUAGGGACCAAGCGUUGUUCGGAUUUACUGGGCGUAAAGGGCGCGUAGGCGGCAAUUCAAGUCAUCUGUGAAAUCUCCGGGCUUAACUCGGAACGGUCAGAUGAUACUGCUUUGCUAGAGUGCAGAAGGGGCAAUCGGAAUUCUUGGUGUAGCGGUGAAAUGCGUAGAUAUCAAGAGGAACACCUGAGGUGAAGACGGUUGCUGGGCUGACACUGACGCUGAGGCGCGAAAGCCAGGGGAGCAAACGGGAUUAGAUACCCAUGUAGUCCCUGAGCGGGCUGGCAAGGCGCAU
rnacentral:rRNA from 1 species